rnacentral:pre_miRNA from 1 species
UUUAAGUAUUGUUGUGAGUUUUUUAUCCAGCGUUUGACCGUUCGUCUUAUUUGAAAAAAAUUUUAUGAUUAGUAUUUUUAUUGUUUUUAGAUGAUAAAACGUGAAUAAUAUGUGACGCAUGAUUUUUUUUAUUUUUUUUAUAUUUCUUGUAAAUAAUACGGGUGAUUAAACGUUAGACACGAAACCCACGACUACACUCAAA